rnacentral:rRNA from 1 species
UGGGGAAUAUUGCACAAUGGGGGAAACCCUGAUGCAGCGACGCCGCGUGGAGGAAGAAGGCCUUCGGGUUGUAAACUCCUGUCGUAAGGGACGAUAGUGACGGUACCUUACAAGAAAGCCACGGCUAACUACGUGCCAGCAGCCGCGGUAAAACGUAGGUGGCAAGCGUUGUCCGGAAUUACUGGGUGUAAAGGGAGCGCAGGCGGGUCUGCAAGUUGGAAGUGAAACCCAUGGGCUCAACCCAUGAACUGCUUUCAAAACUGCGGAUCUUGAGUGGUGUAGAGGUAGGCGGAAUUCCCGGUGUAGCGGUGGAAUGCGUAGAUAUCGGGAGGAACACCAGUGGCGAAGGCGGCCUACUGGGCACUAACUGACGCUGAGGCUCGAAAGCAUGGGUAGCAAACAGGAUUAGAUACCCCGGU